GUGCCUGUAGCUCAAUCGGAUAGAGCAUCUGACUACGGAUCAGAAGGUUGCAGGUUCGACUCCUGCCAGGCACGCCA
rnacentral:tRNA from 1 species